rnacentral:rRNA from 1 species
CUCUUCCCACGUCACGCCGGCGUCCCCGCGCCGGACGCCGACGAGGCAAAAGAAAUCUAUGACGAAGCUCGGAGAGUGGUGUCCACCUACGAGACCGUUCCCAGCGGAAUCGUGGUUGAUUACCACCGCCACCCCGACGGGUGGCAUAUGGCCCUGCCGGUGAUGGUGAGCUCCAUGGUCGCACAUCACCACUUCGAGGCCCGCGGGACCGAUGUGCUCCUUGUUACCAUCCCCAAGUCCGGGACCACCUGGAUCAAGGCUCUUCUCUACGCCGCCGCCCGCCGCACCGAUGACGCAUCGUUCGUACUCCGGCAGCUCGCCUCCCACAACUCGCACCAGCUCGUUCCUUUCCUCGAGACCCAGGUGUACACCAAGGACCAGAUCCCCGACCUGAGCUCGCUUCCGGCGCCACGGCUCUUCGCCACGCACGUCCCGGCGGAGUCGCUGCCAGCUUCCGUUGUGGCGUCGGGUUGCAAGGUGGUGUACUUGUGCCGGGACCCCAAGGACUGUUUCGUGUCUCUCUGGCACUUUAUGAACAAGCUGACCCCAUGGGACAUUGACGAGGCACACGGCCGGUUCUGCGACGGCGUCUCGGUCUAUGGGCCGUUCUGGGAGCAUGUGCUAAGCUACUGGCGGUGGCACGUCGAGAGGCCGGGUCAGGUGCUCUUCCUUACUUACGAGGAGCUCAGCGCCGACCCGCUUGGCCAGCUGAGGCGCCUUGCCGAGUUCAUCGGGCGCCCGUUCACGCCGGGAGAGCAGGAGGCCGGAAUAGACAGGGAGAUCGCGGAGGCAUGCGCCAUGAAGAGCAUGGUCAGUCGGGAGGUGAACCAGUCGGGGACGACCGAAAUGACGGAGAUGCCGAUGCCCAACGGGAUCUUUUUCCGACGCGGCGUGGUCGGAGACUGGACCAACUACCUAACACCGGAAAUGGCAACACGGAUUGAUGAGAUUACCAAGAGCAAGUUCGAAGGAUCCGGCCUGAUGCUGCCCGAAACGAACUCGAAAAUCACAAAGAUCUAG